rnacentral:rRNA from 1 species
GCAGUCUGGUGCCAGCAGCCAAACCACCGGCAACAUAUAAUUCGCGCUCGGGAUUAUUUUCGGUAAAUACCCAGCGGUCAUCCGGUGUGCCGGAUUUUCCAUUUUUUAACUCGCCGUCUUUUAGGGAGGCAUCGUAGGGGAAAUUAUCUGUUUGCACCAUUUGAGGCAUCACCAAGCAAUACAUAUUGGCGAAUCGUCGGUGUCGAUAAUGCCGCGAUACAAACGUCCCAUGGAUUUAUAGCCGCCGAGCACACUCAACAAACCGUGUUCAAUUUGUUGCAGCGCAUCAUUUUUGCCAUCGGCGACAUGAAUCUCCACCAAUUUUUUCUGCUGGUCGAUUAAAGUCGCAUCGUGAUUGAGCCCAAACUCUUCGAUCAUGCUGGCGAGCAACCAGAUGGUCCCCAUUUGUGAUUCCACCCGCAGAUCGUAAUCACCCGCAUCGUGCCAACCACCCGCAUCUAACCCCGGUACUCGCUCGCCUGGUUUGAAUUUUGUACGCGUUGUGUCAUCGGAAAUAUAACCGUCGAUAUGAUUAAAAUUAAGCGGCAUCAUCAGUGCAUCGUCCUGAUGAUCCAAGCCGUGCCAGACGCGGUAUUUUUCGUUCACGCGCAUAUGACACAUCUGUACCGGUAAAAAAUAUUCGAGCGUGGGUUGCCAGGCAUGACGCGAUAACACAUCGUCGCCAAUUUUAAACGCGUGUGAGAUUUUAUCUCGGUAGCUGAUUUGAUACAUACCGGGUUCAGUAAUGCCGGAGAAAUCGUAGGUCAUAUAUUGGUAGCGCAGAAAAUUGCCCCAAGGUUCGACUUUGGAUUUUUUUACCAGAGUUUUACCGGCUUCACUUAAUUUGAAGAUUUGUAUUUCCGAGGCUUUGGUAUCGGCUUGUCCUGUUCGAUCACCACUUUUUUGGGCUGCUGGCACCAGACUGC